ensembl:lncRNA
AUGGCAGAGAUGGCUGGGAAAAGCUUCAUUUCCAGCAUGGAAAAGCUAUCUGAUGAUAAUUAUGCUUCGUUGUCAGUAAUGAUGCGGUCUUUGCUGGCAUCUGAGGAUUUGGAACAUACCCUCAAUGGAACAGAUCAAAAUGCUGAGCACAGAAGGAAAGCCAAAGCAUAUUUGAUACUGUGCCUCCAACCAAACCAACUUGUCCAUGUGAGAAAUAAGGACACUCCUGAGGAGAUUUGGCAAGCUUUAAGAAAUGUCCAUCAGAGAGAGACUUGCAUGUCUGAAAUGAUUUGGACUAAGAGGCUGUUUUCAGCAAAACUUGUUCAGGGCCAAGAUGUCAGAAAAGAUUUGGACAAUGUAAAGCAAUUAUUGAUUGGAGCUGAGGAAAGAGGCCUACAAUAUUCUGAAGCACAGAAGUGUUAUCUGGUGCUGUGCAGCUUGUCUGAGGACUGGGACUUUCUGGUACAUUCUUUCCAGAAUGUGAGAGUCCAGGAUUUAACUUUGGAUUCAGUUUGUGGGAGAAUCCAAGAGGAAGUGGACCGGAGGGCACUUGAACAAGCCCAGAAGCAGACGAUGGCGCAGUGUGACCAGGAGGGGGCGCAAGUGGCCGGUUUUGGUCCUGAUGGUGUUCCUGGGAAUCGUGAGGAGGUUGCAGUACAUCAGGUCAAAACACGGCGGUGUUUUGUCUGCAACAAGCCGGGGCAUUUUGCCAGGAGUUGCCCAAACAACAAGGCAAGAAGUUCUCAUGGGAACAGAAGGGCAAGGAAUUUGUCAACAACAGCUAAGCCCCAAGUGUUUAUGGCUGCGGUGAAUGGAAGGAUCACCGAAAAGAACAAGUGGUAUUUGGACUCAGGUUGUACACACCAUGUUGUUACAAAUCUUAAACUUUUGAAAAACAGAAGGGAUGUGUCUGGAACAGCAGUGACUUUGGCUGAUGGAACUGAGAGGAAGUUCAACAAAUGUGGCACUGUGUUCAUCCCUUGCUUGAAUGUGGAUUGGGAAAAUGUACUUUACAUCCCAGAAUUGAGUUCUAAUUUGUUAAGUGUGGCUACCUUAACUGAGAACGGAUAUAGAGUAAUUUUUAGCGGAAUCUAUUGCUAUAUACAGAAAGAUGGACGAGUAGAGGCAAAAGGUGUAAAAAGGAACAAAAUGUAUAUGAUGUUUGACAAAAAUAACUUUCCAGAUGGGGCACAAGUCUAUUGUGUGAAGCAGAAGAUUAUGCAUGACAGGUGUAUCCAUCAUCUUCACAGAGCGAUGGGUCAUGCACGUGAAGGCUGGGACAGGUUGCAUUUGAACAAAGAGAUGUUGUUUAAUAACAAUUCCACCAAGGAAGCGGAGGUACAGAAAGCUUCAGGUGGAGGGGGUUCUGUUGUUGAAAAAGAUAUGCAACGAACCAUUAAGGAGGAGAUGGUUACUCCAGUGAAACAUGGGGAAGUACAGACUCCCCAGAAGAGUCAGAAGAGAGGGGGUAAAGGAAAAAAAUCACCUAAGCUUGAGAGUGAAGAGCAGGUGACAGAAAAAAGUGAAGAUAUAUCUCUUCUUGAGACCGAGAUUGAAUCAGUUGAUCAGUGGUCUCCAACUUGUCAAUUGGCACAGGUGUUGCCAAAGCGCCAGAGAUGCAAAAACAUUGUGCCUGUUUAUUAGUCUGAACGGAAGUUGAAAUAUGUAUAUAUGUUCAGAGAGAGUUAAAUCAAUUUUGUGAAUAAUUGUGAUGAAAAAUAAAGAUGUAAAAGAGAUAGAGAGUGAGAGAAAGAACUCUCUAGAGUUUUUUGGGUGAAGUUUGAUUAUGUAAUGAAUUGGUUUUAAGAAAUUGGAUUUUAAGAGAAAUUUGAAAUCCAUGGUUAAGCCAGCAGUGAGUUGUAAUAUAGUCUGGCAGCAUCUAAUGAAUCUAUGUGGCACAAUGAAUUAAGUUUUCAGAGGUUGGGAAAACUAUUGAUUAAUGAAGUGAAACAUCAGUGUAUUAGGUUAUGGUUCUGGCAUCGAUUGUGUUAAUAAAGAUGCAAGAAGAGAGUUGAUGUAUUGUGAUCAAAACAAUUUACAUGUGAUUGAAAAUGACUGUAUGUAUACAUGUUUUAUCUUGUGGAAGUUCAAGAGAGAUUGAUCAAAUGUGUAGAGUGUUAAAGUAUAUGUAGAGAAUUGAUUUGAACAUUUCGGAGGGGAAUUGUCAGGGUAUUGUGUAUUGUGAAAUGUUAAAAUCAAUCUGGAUACAGCAAUCAUGGAGUUAAUGAGAGUCUGCUAUGAUUGAUGUAUCACAGGACCAAUGGGGUCAAGUGUGUUUUGACCGGGACUUACUAUCUUGGUUCCUGUGGAAUGCGAGGGAGUGUGUGGUUUCCUGUGUAGAACAGAGAACAGUGAUGAGCAAUGUGCUGUGUGUAUGCAUGGGUGCUUUCGGCAAGCACUCAUGGAGGAAAGGACUGAAUUGACUCUAUUAGUAUAUAGAUCAUGUAAAUAAAGUUUAAUCAACAGUUGGACUUCAUCUGCUGGAGUGAGUUUAUCCAGUGCUGUUUUCCACACGGGGAAACAGUCUGGAGAGAAGGAGGUGAACCGGGAUGGUGAAUUUUUUGGAUUUCACUCUGCUACCCAUCAUCCCCGCUGACAGUUUGCACCCCCUGGGCAAACAGAAGGUCAGCUGCUGUCCUCCCAUCCUUUUUGCCUUGUUUUUAUUUGUGUUGCACUUUGAAAUGGUCAUAUGAGUAGUCAAACAAAUACAUUGUUGUUAUGGUUGUUGUUGUAAGCAAUUAUUGAGUGGAAAGUACCAAACAUUAUGUGGCAUUCAAGAAACAUGAAUCAGUCUGUAUACUUGACAAGUGUUCAAAAACAUGGUGGAGUGGCAGUUAUAAAUUAAAAUAAUAGAAGCUCAUACUAUGCUACUGACUUAGGAUUCUCCUAACAUUUUUCUGUUCAUUUAUUAUUUUUCUAUUUUUUGGUGUGUUUUUAUGUUGAUGCAAAUGGUUAGGGACAUCACCAUGACUUUUAAAUUGUGAUCCAACAAAAUUGGAACAGGUUGUGAAGGUAAGAUACAAAUCAAGCUGUGUUCUCAUAUCCAGUGCAGGAACAAUUGUUUCUAGAAUAUCAGUGAUAGACAAAAUGAGUGAAUAUAUGUCAGAACAUCACACAAAAGUAGAAGGACAUGUUAUGGUUUGUGUUUAGCUCUGUCUCAUUCCCUUCUUUCUUAUCCAGAAGUAUUGUAAAGGGUUUUAGGGAAAGCAAAGUGUUAGUAUAGCAAUGAACUAUCAUAAAUCCACUUCCCUUCCUCCUCAUAUUCACAAAGGCUCUUGGAUUUCGUUUUGAAUUAACAAAUGUGAGAGAAUACUGGAUGAGCAGGCAGACUUGGUAUGCAUAACGGAGACCUGGCUGGAUGAGGCUGGUGGGUGUGUAAAUCUCAGCCAGCUUUGUCCACCAGGUUUUACCGUGCAGCAUCAACCAAGAUCCGGAGGAUGGAGAGGUGGUGUCACUGUAGUCUAUAAGGAUUCUAUCCACCUGAUCAGGUGCCCCAUCCCACAGUCAACCUUGUUUGAAUGUGUCCAUCUGAGGGUGGGUGACUGAGACAGACUAGGGAUUCUGUUAGUAUAUCAACCACCCCACUGCACUACAGUCUCCCUGCCUGAGCUAGUGGGGGUGGUCUUGAGUCUGG